UGUUAAAAGUUUCAUCAAUUGUUAGUGUUAAAAAUUAACAUGACUGAUGAAAUAAUUAGACAGUUACACAUGACAUGCUAUAAAUAUCUCAUGCUAAUUUACAUGAUCAAUUUUUUAAUAUUAGAAAUUAAUGAAAUUUUUAACA
rnacentral:pre_miRNA from 1 species